rnacentral:rRNA from 1 species
UACGAAGGGGGCUAGCGUUGCUCGGAAUCACUGGGCGUAAAGCGCACGUAGGCGGAUUGUUAAGUCAGGGGUGAAAUCCUGGAGCUCAACUCCAGAACUGCCUUUGAUACUGGCGAUCUUGAGUCCGGGAGAGGUGAGUGGAACUGCGAGUGUAGAGGUGAAAUUCGUAGAUAUUCGCAAGAACACCAGUGGCGAAGGCGGCUCACUGGUCCGAUACUGACGCUGAGGUGCGAAAGCGUGGGGAGCAAACAGG